GAAUAUCUCAAACCGUUCUGGCACUUUUCCUCUUUAUUGGAACAAAAAGAAAAGCCAGUGUUCGUCUGUCAAGCAAGCAAGCCGUCUCCUCCGCUUUGAUCGAUGGUGUGACAACUUUCUAAAGUCCCGUGUGACAGACUUCCUUCAGAGAGCUGGAUACAACCUCCACAAAGGAUGGAGGACUCUCCUCACUUGUACAUCUCUGAAAUUGGCGACAAUGAAGUUAUGGAGGAAGGUGGGGAGGAGGAGGAGGAGGAGGAGGACGACGAAGACGACGACGUUCAUCAAGGGGAAACUGACAUGCAGCCAGACACGAUGACGUCACUGUUCCCUGAUCUUCAUGAACCUCCCAACCAGGAUACUGAGAGGGACUGGAACUCUUCUCCCUGCCAGCACUGCGAGAGACAUUUUACCAGCAAACAAGGCUUAGAGCGACACAUGCACAUCCAUGCGCUGGAGAAGAACCAGGCGCACGCAUGCAGCCAUCAGAGCAGCACGUCUUUUGGGUCAACUCCGGGUCGGCCGCAGCAGGAGAAGAGGAAACCUCUGGAUUCAGUCGGCUCAGUCAUGCAGCGUCAUACAUCCUCCUCCGCGGGCUCGCGUGCUUCCACUGCGUCAGACGGUGACCGCAAUGCUCAGCCAGACAAAUCGAGUACCGGAGGGGCGUCACGCUUGCAAGUACUGCGAAAAGAUAUUCACGACACAUACCAACAAGCGACGACAUGAGCGCAGGAUCCACGAGCAGAACCGGCAAGUCGCAGGUGUGGAAAAAACCCAGCUGGCCCAAGAGACGGAUGUUCAGAGGAUGUGCAGGCAUACAUAUGAGCCGAGUGUGUGUAAGCUCUGCAUAGUCACAUGUGUUGCCGUGGUCCACCGUGUCUGGGUUGAACAUGCUGUGCAUUCUGUGCUUGUCAAUACAUGAGCUCAUAUUUGGACAAGUGAAAUAAAAACUAAAUAAAAGUAAUGAGUUCAUCAGAA